UACGAAGGGGGCUAGCGUUGUCCGGAUUUAUUGGGCGUAAAGAGCGUGUAGGCGGCUUGGUAGGUCUGCUGUGAAAACUCGGGGCUCAACCCCGAGACGUCGGUGGAAACCACCUGGCUAGAGUCCGGAAGAGGAGAGUGGAAUUCCUGGUGUAGCGGUGAAAUGCGCAGAUAUCAGGAAGAAUAUCCGUGGCGAAGGCGGCUCUCUGGGACGGUACUGACGCUGAGACGCGAAAGCGUGGGGAGCGAACAGG
rnacentral:rRNA from 1 species